rnacentral:rRNA from 1 species
UACGUAGGGACCAAGCGUUGUUCGGAUUUACUGGGCGUAAAGGGCGCGUAGGCGGCUUAACAAGUCACUUGUGGAAUCUCCGGGCUUAACUCGGAACGGCCAAGUGAAACUGUCAAGCUAGAGUGCAGAAGGGGCAAUCGGAAUUCUUGGUGUAGCGGUGAAAUGCGCAGAUAUCAGGAGGAACACCGGUGGCGAAGGCGGGUCUCUGGGCCGAUACUGACGCUGAGGAGCGAAAGCGUGGGGAGCGAACAGG